GUUAAAUCUCAUAGAAGAAGUGCAGUGACGUCCCAAGGAUCCCGUAUAGAUAUCGCCACUAACUACCACAGAGUAAUAACCUCACCAGUAUUACCAUUUCUCAUCUUAAAAUUAUUUAAACGUAACCACACUGCUAACAUUAUGACUAACCUUGAAUUAAGACCAAAAAAACAAAUGAUUGUUUUCAAAAAAAAUUACGUAUAGCCAAUGUUGACUUUGUGGCAACCGCAUCCAGGCCAGCGUCUUCAGAGAAAAGGCAGUUUUCUUGGAGAAGCAGGAGAGCGAGGACAUGUCCUAGAUAAGUUCUGGGCACCCUGGAGGCAACACUCAGCUUUAUUUUCAUGUGAGCAUCAGCACAUAUCACACGGGAAGUGGGCAAAGUGUCCGAGACAUUGCAAAAGCUUGCUGUCUAACCGGUCGUGGUUGUGACGUGAGUAGGGCAAUAUGAGUCGGGAGAGGGAAACAUUGUUGGAUGAAAUUGAACUGAGUUUAUAUACUUUAUCUGAGGACAAUUUACAUUACUUGUGCGACCGUUGUGGAAUAGGGGGCAAGGAUGGAUCAGAAGUCAAAGGAAAGAGUCAACGCUCAUUGCGUCGUAUAGUAGGGGAGUAUUGUGAAAAUGUAAUCAUAAUGGAUUCAGAGGACCAGGGAAUCUCUCAGUUACUCCAACUGAAAGAAGACAUCAAAGGAAUACAGAAAGAUGCUAGCAAUGUGCCAACAAGUCCCAGCCAGUCAGCGACUGUAGAGGUGGACAGCUCACAAGCAAGCUGCGAUGGUGAACCGAAUGAGGGAGGGGUUUGGCUACCCAACAACAGGCAGUUGGCGGAUCCAGCUCCAGAGUGGCUCAUUAUACCCCAGCAGAGGGAGUCACUAGUUCCUAGUUGUGACAGUGGAGCCCAGUCGUUACAGCAGGAUGCAACACUGCUGCUGGAGGACUGCAGGUUUAUGCUGGGGCAGAGAUUCAACAUCAAAGUGGAAAAGGAGGAGGAUAUGAUUUCAGUCUUUGCUAAUGCAGGAGUGUGUCCUCCUGAGUCCUCAGACUCAUCAGUGGAGGCAUUGUCUACAUCAGGCAUGCAACACCAGGAAGUUGACAAAGGAAAGAGCCUUCAACGUAAGAAGAGCUCCACAAAACUAUCACACCCUCAACGACACCUGCAGGCACAUUCUAGAAAGACGUCUUCCCACUGUUCAGAUAGCGAUGAAUGUUUCUCUUCUGUGAGUUCUUACCAAUGCACUGAAUGUAAGAAGAGAUUCUCUAGCAAUGCAGGUCUUCAAAAACACAUGCGAAUACAUAGUGGUGAGAGGCCUUUCCAGUGCUCACAGUGUGACAAGAGUUUCAUUAAUAGUUCAAAUCUUUAUCAACACCUGCCAGUGCACUCUGGAGAGAAGCCUCACCACUGCUCUGACUGUGGGCGAACUUUCUCUACAGUGCGGUAUUUAACGAAACACAAGCGGCUACAUUCAGGGAUUAAGCCUUUCUGUUGCCAUCAGUGUGACAAGAGGUUCGUCAGAUCAGACCAGUUAAAAGUCCAUAUGAUGGCACAUACUGGGGAGCGGCCUUACCAAUGUGGUCAGUGUGAGAAGAGUUUUAAAAUGAAGUCAAAUCUUAAAGACCACCUGUUAUUACACAAGGUGGAGAUGUCUCACCACAGCCCUGACUGUGAUCAAAGUUUCUCCACUGAGGAAACUUUAAAGGAACACAUGCUGUUACACACGGGAGAGAAACCUUUCCACUGUCUGCAAUGCGACAAGAGGUCAAAUGAGUUAAAAGAUCAUAUGAUGACUCAUGAGGAGCAGCCUAGUUCUGCUAAUAGGUCACCAAGUUCCAGACAUGAAGAACAAAAAUGUCAGGAAAUGUCACUUGCUGUCAAAAAAAGCUCCGAUCUUAUUCAACACCUGCAAGUAAAUUCUGGAGAAAAGCCAUUCCACUGUCUGCAUUGCGAGAAUAGGUACAGUACUUCAGAGGAGUUGAAAGAACAUAUGAAGAUUCGUGCUGAGGAGCUGCCUGAUUCUCAGCCUGGUUCUGAGAAUAGAUCAAAUACCAGAAGUGUAGAAAACCAAUGUCAAGAGAUGGCUCAUACUGUCAAAAAACCUGACCAUAGCCCUGACUAUGGAACAGAUUUCGCUCAACAAGACAACCUGACAGAACACCAGCAAACACACACCGGGAAAAAGUCUCACCUCUGCCCUGAAUGUGGGAAAAAAUACCAUAGCGCUUCACAUUUCAAAGAACACCUGCGCUCACACACUGGUGAGAGACCUUACCAGUGUUCUCAGUGUGCAAAGACUUUCACAAAACAAAUACAUCUUAAGCGGCAUUUGUCCUCACACUCUGAAGAGAAACUUUACCAUUGUGAAAAUUGCAAUUUAUAUUUCCCAAAUGCAUUGGAAUUGAAAAGACACAAGCACACUGGAAAGAAGCCUCACCAAUGCUCUGUCUGUAGUGUUAGUUUCCCUUUAUUAGAAGAUCUAAAAGCACAUGAAAGGAUUCACACACAGAAUCCUCACCACUGCUCUGACUGCGGGCGAAAUUUCUCUACCGCAGGUUGUUUAAAGAAACACAAGCUGUUACAUUCAGGAGAGAAACCUUUCCACUGCACACAGUGUGAUAAGCGGUACACCAGAGCUGACCAGUUAAAAGAUCAUAUGAAAAUACAUUCUGAAGAGAAGCCUUAUCAAUGCCCUGUUUGUGAGAAGAAAUUCCAUGAUUCUAGCAAAUUAAAAGUUCACCAGAGAGCAGUGCAUACAGCAUCUUCUUACAUUUGCUCUGACUGUGGAAAGAGCUUUGCUCUACUGGGCAACCUUAAUGCCCACCAGCGAACUCACACUGGGGUAAAGCCUCACCAGUGCCCCAUCUGUGAAAAGAGAUACUCAAAACGAUCACAUCUUAAAGAACAUGUGCGUAUACACACUGGUGAGAGACCUUACCAGUGCUCUCAGUGUGAAAAGACUUUCACAACACAAACAGGUCUUAACCAUCACCUGUACACACACACUGGAGAGAAGCCCCGUCACCACUGUCCAGACUGUAACGAAAGUUUUACAUCUUGGAGACCUUUUAAGAGACAUAAACAACAACACACUGGAGAGAAGCCUCACCUGUGCUCUAACUGUGGUCUUACCUUCCUUAUAGAAGAAGACCUAAAAGCACACGAAAGGAUACACACUGGAGAGAAGCCUCACCACUGUUCUGAGUGCGGGAAAGGAUUAUCUUCAGAAGGUAAUUUGAAAAAACACAAGCGGUUACAUACUGGAGAGAAGCCUUUUCAUUGUACGCAUUGUGAUGAGAAGUUCACAAGAUCAGAUCGGUUGAAAGUUCAUAUUAUGUCGCAUAAUGGAGAGAAACCAUACCAAUGUCCUGAAUGUGAGAAAAGCUACAAUAAUUCCACCCAAUUGAAAAAUCAUCAGAGAAUAAUACAUAGACAAGAUAAACCAUACCUUUGCUCUGACUGUGGAAAGAGCUUUGGUAAACUAGGCAACCUUACAGACCACCAGCGAAUGCAUACUGGAGAGAAGCCUUAUGUCUGCCCUGAGUGUGGGAAACAGUUUAGCCACGGAAAACACUUAAAGAUACAUCAGCGUGAACAUACUGGAGAAAAACCGUAUCAAUGUCUUGACUGUGAGAAAUGUUUCACCCGGGUAGAUUAUCUAAAAAUACACCAGGUUACGCAUAGGCCUCCUCACAUGCGCUCUACUAGAGAUAAACCCCAUCGCUGCUCUGACUGUGGGAAGUGUUUCAGGCAGAUUUCUGGCCUUAGAGCACAUCAGCAAACCCACACUGGAGGAUCUCUUUAUGACUGUACUGGAUAUGAAAAGAGUUUUGUAAACCUGUAGAAUCUAAACUUGUGAGAAGCCAUACCACUGCUUUGACUAUGGGAUCAACAUUUCCCAAUUGGGAACCUUUUUAAGAGACACCAGGUCACAAAACACAAUCAUUGUCCUAUCUGAAUAGUAUGAUGGCCUGAACAUUGAAAAGGAGUGGUAAUUAUUACUAUGUUACCAUAGUAACUUUUAUUUUGCUACCAUGCUUAGAUCACCUUUUGUAGAUGGCAUGUGAAUAUACUGUUUACUUAGCGUAAGAUGAUGUGCAAUCACAAUAGAUAAGCUACAAUUAUCCUACUCAACUGUAACUUGAAGUGGUUUAAAUGUCUGUUUGGUCAAUUAUUCCGAUGUCAGAUAAUAAAGAUACUUUUCCUGUGA